UGGGGAAUCUUGCGCAAUGGGCGAAAGCCUGACGCAGCAACGCCGCGUGAGCGAAGAAGGCCUUCGGGUUGUAAAGCUCUGUCAGGAGGGACGAAGCCACUCGGGUGAAUAGCCCAGAGGGUGACGGUACCUCCAGAGGAAGCCCCGGCUAACUACGUGCCAGCAGCCGCGGUAAUACGUAGGGGGCGAGCGUUGUCCGGAAUCAUUGGGCGUAAAGCGCGUGUAGGCGGCUUGUCAAGUCCGAUGUGAAAUCUCGGGGCUCAACCCCGAAACUGCAUUGGAAACUGGCGUGCUAGAGUCCGGAAGAGGAGAGUGGAAUUCCUGGUGUAGCGGUGAAAUGCGCAGAUAUCAGGAAGAACACCGGUGGCGAAGGCGGCUCUCUGGGACGGUACUGACGCUGAGACGCGAAAGCGUGGGUAGCGAACA
rnacentral:rRNA from 1 species